rnacentral:rRNA from 1 species
AGUGAACGCUGGCGGUAGGCCUAACACAUGCAAGUCGAACGGCAGCACAGUAAGAGCUUGCUCUUACGGGUGGCGAGUGGCGGACGGGUGAGGAAUACAUCGGAAUCUACUUUUUCGUGGGGGAUAACGUAGGGAAACUUACGCUAAUACCGCAUACGACCUACGGGUGAAAGCAGGGGAUCUUCGGACCUUGCGCGAUUGAAUGAGCCGAUGUCGGAUUAUCUAGUUGGCGGGGUAAAGGCCCACCAAGGCGACGAUCCGUAGGUGGUCUGAGAGGAUGAUAAGCCACACUGGAACUGAGACAAGGUCCAGACUCCUAAGGGAGGCAGCAGUGGGGAAUAUUGGACAAUGGGCGCAAGCAUGAUCCAGCCAUACCGAGUGGGUGAAGAAGGCCUUCGGGUUGUAAAGCCCUUUUGUUGGGAAAGAAAAGCAGAAGGUUAAUACCACGCUGUUCUGACGGUACCCAAAGAAUAAGCACCGGCUAACUUCGUG